AUGAAUUUGAAUUCGCUCAUACAAGACUCCAUCACCUGGAUUUGGCAUCAUGGUGGGGAAUAUUCGUUCAGCUUGGCCUACGAGGUGCAAUUCCAUGGAUCCCAUCCAAAGUUCUCAACCCAUAAAGUAUGGAAGGCGUUUGCGGAGCCAAAGUGCAUGCUCUUCUCUUGGCUCAUACUUCACAACAGGAUCCUCACGGCUGAUCGGCUUGCCAUACGGGGCUGGCCGAUUUACCCUAUUUGCUAG
rnacentral:rRNA from 1 species